GAUGAAGAACGUAGCGAAAUGCGAUGCGUAAUGUGAAUUGCAAAUUCAGUGAAUCAUCGAGUCUUUGAACGCACAUUGCGCCCCCUGGUAUUCCGGGGGGCAUGCCUGUCCGAGCGUCAUUGCUGCCCUCAAGCACGGCUUGUGUGUUGGGCCCCGUCCUCCGAUCCCGGGGGACGGGCCCGAAAGGCAGCGGCGGCACCGCGUCCGGUCCUCGAGCGUAUGGGGCUUUGUCACCCGCUCUGUAGGCCCGGCCGGCGCUUGCCGAUCAACCCAAAUUUUUAUCCAGGUUGACCUCGGAUCAGGUAGGGAUACCCGCUGAACUUAAGCAUAUCAAUAAGCGGAGGA
rnacentral:misc_RNA from 1 species